CUCUGCCCUCUCCUUUGAUCAACUUUUACCAUUUCCUUUGCAUCUUAGAAAAUGAGGCAAAAUCCAGUUUGGGCUUAGGGCCAGAGAAGAGCCCUUGAGGCCUCCCUCAUGGAAAACAUACUCUCUCAGUUUACCAGAGUUUCCUGUACCAAGGGGAAAUUUCUGCAAACAGUGAACCCUUGCUGAAGCAGGACAGCAAGCAGGUCCAGGUGGACCUCCAGGACCUGGGCUAUGAGACUUGUGCCAAAGCAAGAAUGAGGCUGAACAGGAGGAAACCACCAGUACCGGACUACAACUAUAGGGCCACCCACCACAUUGAAAACCAGAAGAGAAGAAAAACACAGUCUCUCUCAUUCUUGAGGAAGUGUAGUGUGGCAGUUAAGAGAAAAGAUCCUGGGGCCAGACUUGUUGCUUCAAAUCCCGAUUUGUAAACUUUCCUAUGCCCCAGUUUCUUCAAAUGUUAAAAUAGUA
rnacentral:lncRNA from 1 species